CAUGGACCUCACCUCCACCAGGUGCUGCUUCUUGAUCGACUUCACAGCUGAGUGGCAGCAGGAGUGGAUGAGGGUCGAUGGGUGGGAGAAGAUAGAGCAAAGCAUGGUGAGAAUGAACCAAAACAGCCAGGAGCUCCAACUCCAAUGAGAGAAAGGACAGCUAGCUGCUUAGAAGAGCUAAGAAAUGAGAGACUUUUCUGUAUUAAACCCUCUGGAAUAGGCCUCCUGCUGGUCUUUCACCAUCUUUUUCAGCUUGUCAUUGGCUGCUGCAUUCUUCACCUCCAGCUCUUGGCUCUUUAUCCUCAAGUCACGACGCAGUUCUUCUACCUAAAGAGCAAAGCCCACACUCAGAGACGAGAAACAUGCAGAAAUUAUAUGGAAAGGGGUCCUCACUGCAGCUCACUCCCGUGAGGAAUUUGUGCCUGUGACGCACCUGGUCGACUGUCUCUUUGAUCUUCCUGAGCCCCACGUUCAAGUGCAUCUGCUGCUCCUCCAGCUCGCUCCGCUUCUCGUGGAACAGGUUGGCAUAGUGAUUGAUGAA
rnacentral:lncRNA from 1 species